GAGAAAUUGACUAAGUGAUUGUUUCCAGAUUCGGGGAAACCUAGGUUCGAGAAAAACAUAGUAGGUAAUCCUGAGCCAAAUUUUGUUUACAAAAUAGGUGCAGAGACUCAAAGGAGACUAUCCGAAAAAACUGGAAUAUUUAGAGAUAGAUAUAAAUACCAUUAUUUAAUAAUUUAUUAUUAUAAAUCGUGUCAGAUAAGGAUAAAGAUAGAGUCCAUUUUUACAUGCUACAUUUAGUUAGCAGCGAUGUAAAUCAUUGUAAAAAGAAAAUCCGUUGGCUUUUUAGACCGUGAGGGUUCAAGUCCCUCUACCCCCA
rnacentral:tRNA from 1 species